rnacentral:rRNA from 1 species
GGAUUUGUGCCUUCGGGAACUGUGAGACAGGUGCUGCAUGGCUGUCGUCAGCUCGUGUUGUGAAAUGUUGGGUUAAGUCCCGCAACGAGCGCAACCCUUAUCCUUUGUUGCCAGCGGUUAGGCCGGGAACUCAAAGGAGACUGCCAGUGAUAAACUGGAGGAAGGUGGGGAUGACGUCAAGUCAUCAUGGCCCUUACGACCAGGGCUACACACGUGCUACAAUGGCGCAUACAAAGAGAAGCGACCUCGCGAGAGCAAGCGGACCUCAUAAAGUGCGUCGUAGUCCGGAUUGGAGUCUGCAACUCGACUCCAUGAAGUCGGAAUCGCUAGUAAUCGUGGAUCAGAAUGCCACGGUGAAUACGUUCCCGGGCCUUGUACACACCGCCCGUCACACCAUGGGAGUGGGUUGCAAAAGAAGUAGGUAGCUUAACCUUCGGGAGGGCGCUUACCACUUUGUGAUUCAUGACUGGGGUGAAGUCGUAACAAGGUAACCGUAGGGGAACCUGCGGUUGGA